rnacentral:rRNA from 1 species
GAACGAGAAAGUGGAGCAUUCCAUGAGUAAAGUGGGUACGGGUUGAGUAACACGUGGGUAAUCUACCUUUUGGUGGGGAAUAACCNUGGGAAACCGGGGCUAAUACCGCAUAAUCUCGCGAGAGGAAAGGAGCAAUUCGCCGAAAGAGGAGCCCGCGGCUGAUUAGCUAGUUGGUGAGGUAAUGGCUCACCAAGGCAUUGAUCGGUAGCCGGCCUGAGAGGGCACACGGCCACACUGGCACUGAAACACGGGCCAGACUCCUACGGGAGGCAGCAGUGGGGAAUCUUGCACAAUGGGGGCAACCCUGAUGCAGCGACGCCGCGUGAGUGAUGAAGCCCUUCGGGGUGUAAAGCUCUUUCGGCAGGGACGAUAAUGACGGUACCUGAAGAAGAA